GACGAACGCUGGCGGCGUGCUUAACACAUGCAAGUCGAACGGAAAGGCCCUGCUUUUGUGGGGUGCUCGAGUGGCGAACGGGUGAGUAACACGUGAGUAACCUGCCCUUGACUUUGGGAUAACUUCAGGAAACUGGGGCUAAUACCGGAUAGGAGCUCCUGCUGCAUGGUGGGGGUUGGAAAGUUUCGGCGGUUGGGGAUGGACUCGCGGCUUAUCAUCUUGUUGGUGGGGUAGUGGCUUACCAAGGCUUUGACGGGUAGCCGGCCUGGGAGGGUGACCGGCCACAUUGGGACUGAGAUACGGCCCAGACUCCUACGGGAGGCAGCAGUGGGGAAUAUUGCACAAUGGGCGGAAGCCGGAUGCAGCAACGCCGCGUGCGGGAUGACUGCCUUCGGGUUGUAAACCGCUUUCGCCUGUGACGAAGCGUGAGUGACGGUAAUGAGUAAAGAAGCACCGGCUAACUACGUG
rnacentral:rRNA from 1 species